rnacentral:rRNA from 11 species
AUUAAGAGUACAAAAUACUGUAAAGGCACCAAAUGCCAUCUGAGCUUUGAAGCUGAGCACUGUCAGCCUAGUUAGAACUUGGAUAGCAGACCAUCAAUGGAUAGCAAGUGCUGUAGGUU